AUUGGAUGAGCCCGCGGCCUAUCAGCUUGUUGGUGAGGUAACGGCUCACCAAGGCGACGACGGGUAGCCGGCCUGAGAGGGUGACCGGCCACACUGGGACUGAGACACGGCCCAGACUCCUACGGGAGGCAGCAGUGGGGAAUAUUGCACAAUGGGCGCAAGCCUGAUGCAGCAACGCCGCGUGAGGGACGAAGGCCUUCGGGUUGUAAACCUCUUUUAGCAGGGAAGAAGCGAAAGUGACGGUACCUGCAGAAAAAGCACCGGCUAACUACGUGCCAGCAGCCGCGGCCGAAU
rnacentral:rRNA from 1 species